rnacentral:rRNA from 1 species
GUGUGGUAUCUUUGUCGAGGAGUCAUUCUUAUCAAAGAUAACCUUAUUAAGAGGAAUUGGCAUGGAAGUACGCAAUAUGUUUUUUGUCAUCAAGACGAAAUGAUAAAACAUUUGUUCUUUCAAUGUAAAUUAGCUCGUUCUAUAUGGAUAGUCAUCCAACUAGAUUCUGGCUUGUAUCAUCCACAUAAUGUUGCUAACAUUUUUGGCAACUGGUUACAUGGGAUUGAUCACAUGUUUAGAAUUUUUCUCAGGCUGGGAGCACUUCCCAUUAUUUGGUCGGUUUGGCUAUGUAGAAAUGAUAAGGGUUUUAACAAUAAAAGUACUUCACUUAUGCAGGUUAUCUACAUGUGUACAUGUACGCUACAUUUAUGGUCGUCUCUACAAUGUGUGGAGAAUCAAGACCUAUUUACGGAGGUGUGUACACACUUGGAGCACACUGCGAGGGAUACUCUUACCCAACAUGGAUGGUAG